UAUUAUUUAAUAUGUAAAGAAAAUUUGAUUAUCUGAGUAGUAAUAGUUAAGGUCUUGAAACUCAAAGAAUUUGGCGGUAUUUUAGUCCUUUCAGAGGAAUCUGUUCUAUAAUUGAUAAUACACGAUUUAUAUUACUUGAUCUUGUUAUCAGCUUAUAUACCGCCGUCGUAAGAUUAUCUUGUGGAGAGUGAAAAAUUUCAUUGUUUGUGAUUAUAUUUUAUGUCAGGUCAAGGUGUAGCUAAUGGUUAAGAAGUAAUGGAUUACAAUGAAUUUAUUUAUAUGGAUAGAUAUAUUGAAAAUGGUUUUUGAAGGUGGAUUUGAUUGUAAAUUAAUUUAUAUUGAUUUUUUGAUUUUGGCUCUAAUAUGUGCACACAUCGCCCGUCGCUCUCGUUAUAAGAUGAG
rnacentral:rRNA from 1 species